AAUGCGUUGCAUUUGCAGUGGAAAUCCUUUUUAGGAAUUAUGCAGCAAAACGGAAUAAUUCCUAAAAAGAUUGAAACGAAAAGCGGGAAUAGCU
rnacentral:sRNA from 1 species